rnacentral:rRNA from 1 species
CCUACGGGAGGCAGCAGUGGGGAAUAUUGGGCAAUGGGCGCAAGCCUGACCCAGCAACGCCGCGUGAAGGAAGAAGGCUUUCGGGUUGUAAACUUCUUGUAAGAGGGAAGAGCAGAAGACGGUAUCUCUUGAAGAAGCCACGGCUAACUACGUGCCAGCAGCCGCGGUAAAACGUAGGUGGCAAGCGUUGUCCGGAGUUACUGGGGGUAAAGGGCGUGUAGCCGGGCUGACAAGUCAGAUGUGAAAUUCCGGGGCUCAACCCCGGACCUGCAUUUGAAACUGUUGGUCUUGAGGAGCGGAGAGGCAGGCGGAAUUCCUAGUGUAGCGGUGAAAUGCGUAGAUAUUAGGAGGAACACCAGUGGCGAAGGCGGCCUGCUGGACGACAACUGACGGUGAGGCGCGAAAGCGUGGGGAGCAAACAGGAUUAGAUACCCUGGUAGUC